GGCCGGUUAUCUCAGAAGGUCAGAGCGUGGUGCUAAUAACACCAAGGUCAUGGGUUCCAUCCCCAUACUGGCCA